GCCAGUGUGGUCCAGUGGUUUGUGCAUUGGACUAUGAUUCUGGAGACCAGGUUUCAAUUCCUUGCUCAGCCA